AGUGCAUCAGGCGGAUGCCUUGGCGAUGAUAGGCGACGAAGGACGUGUAAGCCUGCGAAAAGCGCGGGGGAGCUGGCAAUAAAGCUAUGAUUCCGCGAUGUCCGAAUGGGGAAACCCACUGCAUUCUGUGCAGUAUCCUAAGUUGAAUACAUAGGCUUAGAGAAGCGAACCCGGAGAACUGAACCAUCUAAGUACCCGGAGGAAAAGAAAUCAACCGAGAUUCCGCAAGUAGUGGCGAGCGAACGCGGAGGAGCCUGUACGUAAUAACUGUCGAGAUAGAAGAACAAGCUGGGAAGCUUGACCAUAGCGGGUGACAGUCCCGUAUUCGAAAUCUCAACAGCGGUACUAAGCGUACGAAAAGUAGGGCGGGACACGUGAAAUCCUGUCUGAAUAUGGGGGGACCAUCCUCCAAGGCUAAAUACUCAUCAUCGACCGAUAGUGAACCAGUACCGUGAGGGAAAGGCGAAAAGAACCCCGGGAGGGGAGUGAAACAGAACCUGAAACCUGAUGCAUACAAACAGUGGGAGCGCCCUAGUGGUGUGACUGCGUACCUUUUGUAUAAUGGGUCAACGACUUACAUUCAGUAGCGAGCUUAACCGGAUAGGGGAGGCGUAGGGAAACCGAGUCUUAAUAGGGCGAUGAGUUGCUGGGUGUAGACCCGAAACCGAGUGAUCUAUCCAUGGCCAGGUUGAAGGUGCCGUAACAGGUACUGGAGGACCGAACCCACGCAUGUUGCAAAAUGCGGGGAUGAGCUGUGGGUAGGGGUGAAAGGCUAAACAAACUCGGAGAUAGCUGGUUCUCCCCGAAAACUAUUUAGGUAGUGCCUCGAGCAAGACACUGAUGGGGGUAAAGCACUGUUAUGGCUAGGGGGUUAUUGCAACUUACCAACCCAUGGCAAACUCAGAAUACCAUCAAGUGGUUCCUCGGGAGACAGACAGCGGGUGCUAACGUCCGUUGUCAAGAGGGAAACAACCCAGACCGCCGGCUAAGGUCCCAAAUGAUAGAUUAAGUGGUAAACGAAGUGGGAAGGCACAGACAGCCAGGAUGUUGGCUUAGAAGCAGCCAUCAUUUAAAGAAAGCGUAAUAGCUCACUGGUCGAGUCGUCCUGCGCGGAAGAUGUAACGGGGCUCAAAUCUAUAACCGAAGCUGCGGAUGCCGGUUUACCGGCAUGGUAGGGGAGCGUUCUGUAGGCUGAUGAAGGUGCAUUGUAAAGUGUGCUGGAGGUAUCAGAAGUGCGAAUGUUGACAUGAGUAGCGAUAAAGCGGGUGAAAAGCCCGCUCGCCGAAAGCCCAAGGUUUCCUACGCAACGUUCAUCGGCGUAGGGUGAGUCGGCCCCUAAGGCGAGGCAGAAAUGCGUAGUCGAUGGGAAACAGGUUAAUAUUCCUGUACUUGAUUCAAAUGCGAUGUGGGGACGGAGAAGGUUAGGUUGGCAAGCUGUUGGAAUAGCUUGUUUAAGCCGGUAGGUGGAAGACUUAGGCAAAUCCGGGUUUUCUUAACACCGAGAAGUGAUGACGAGUGUCUACGGACACGAAGCAACCGAUACCACGCUUCCAGGAAAAGCCACUAAGCUUCAGUUUGAAUCGAACCGUACCGCAAACCGACACAGGUGGGCAGGAUGAGAAUUCUAAGGCGCUUGAGAGAACUCGGGAGAAGGAACUCGGCAAAUUGAUACCGUAACUUCGGGAGAAGGUAUGCCCUCUAAGGUUAAGGACUUGCUCCGUAAGCCCCGGAGGGUCGCAGAGAAUAGGUGGCUGCGACUGUUUAUUAAAAACACAGCACUCUGCCAACACGAAAGUGGACGUAUAGGGUGUGACGCCUGCCCGGUGCCGGAAGGUUAAUUGAAGAUGUGCAAGCAUCGGAUCGAAGCCCCGGUAAACGGCGGCCGUAACUAUAACGGUCCUAAGGUAGCGAAAUUCCUUGUCGGGUAAGUUCCGACCCGCACGAAUGGCGUAACGAUGGCCACACUGUCUCCUCCCGAGACUCAGCGAAGUUGAAGUGGUUGUGAAGAUGCAAUCUACCCGCUGCUAGACGGAAAGACCCCGUGAACCUUUACUGUAGCUUUGCAUUGGACUUUGAAGUCACUUGUGUAGGAUAGGUGGGAGGCUUGGAAGCAGAGACGCCAGUCUCUGUGGAGUCGUCCUUGAAAUACCACCCUGGUGUCUUUGAGGUUCUAACCCAGACCCGUCAUCCGGGUCGGGGACCGUGCAUGGUAGGCAGUUUGACUGGGGCGGUCUCCUCCCAAAGCGUAACGGAGGAGUUCGAAGGUUACCUAGGUCCGGUCGGAAAUCGGACUGAUAGUGCAAUGGCAAAAGGUAGCUUAACUGCGAGACCGACAAGUCGGGCAGGUGCGAAAGCAGGACAUAGUGAUCCGGUGGUUCUGUAUGGAAGGGCCAUCGCUCAACGGAUAAAAGGUACUCCGGGGAUAACAGGCUGAUUCCGCCCAAGAGUUCAUAUCGACGGCGGAGUUUGGCACCUCGAUGUCGGCUCAUCACAUCCUGGGGCUGUAGUCGGUCCCAAGGGUAUGGCUGUUCGCCAUUUAAAGUGGUACGUGAGCUGGGUUUAAAACGUCGUGAGACAGUUUGGUCCCUAUCUGCAGUGGGCGUUGGAAGUUUGACGGGGGCUGCUCCUAGUACGAGAGGACCGGAGUGGACGAACCUCUGGUGUACCGGUUGUAACGCCAGUUGCAUAGCCGGGUAGCUAAGUUCGGAAGAGAUAAGCGCUGAAAGCAUCUAAGCGCGAAACUCGCCUGAAGAUGAGACUUCCCUUGCGGUUUAACCGCACUAAAGGGUCGUUCGAGACCAGGACGUUGA
rnacentral:rRNA from 1 species